AGGUAAGCUAGAUUGGGUAGUUAGCCCUUGCCUGUCACCACAAACGGGCUAUAUGGUGGGAUCGAAGCCCAAAGAGCGAUAUAUGCUUAAAGUUUAGUCUUAACUUGUACAAUGAGAUUUUGUCCUUUGGGAUCGAUGUUUUUAUGAAAUUUGUCAGGUCCUGACGGAAGCAGCAAUAAGUUUAAAUAUUGAUGUUCAGAGGGUAGCAGAAUUGAGAAAGAGUUAAGGUAGCUAAUCUUUUUUGUUUAUAUUCAUCUUUGGGCCCGCUUAUCU
rnacentral:SRP_RNA from 1 species